rnacentral:rRNA from 1 species
AGCGAACGCUGGCGGCAGGCCUAACACAUGCAAGUCGAACGAACCUUUCGGGGUUAGUGGCGGACGGGUGUGUAACACGUGGGAACGUGCCUUUAGGUUCGGAAUAACUCAGGGAAACUUGUGCUAAUACCGAAUGUGCCCUUCGGGGGAAAGAUUAAUCGCCUUUAGAGCGGCCCGCGUCUGAUUAGCUAGUUGGUUGAGGUAAUGGCUCACCAAGGCGACGAUCAGUAGCUGGUCUGAGAGGAUGAUCAGCCACAUUGGGACUGAGACACGGCCCAAACUCCUACGGGAGGCAGCAGUGGGGAAUCUUGCGCAAUGGGCGAAAGCCUGACGCAGCCAUGCCGCGUGAAUGAUGAAGGUCUUAGGAUUGUAAAAUUCUUUCACCGGGGACGAUAAUGACGGUACCCGGAGAAGAAGCCCCGGCUAACUUCGUG